rnacentral:rRNA from 1 species
GAUGAACGCUGGCGGCGUGCUUAACACAUGCAAGUCGAACGAAGCAUUUGAGUGGAAGCUUUCGGGUGGAAGCUUGAAUGACUUAGUGGCGGACGGGUGAGUAACGCGUGGGUAACCUGCCUUGUACAGGGGGAUAACAGUUAGAAAUGACUGCUAAUACCGCAUAAAAUAGCAGCACUGCAUGGUCCAACUAUCAAAGAUUUAUCGGUACAAGAUGGACCCGCGUCUGAUUAGCUGGUUGGUGAGGUAAUGGCUCACCAAGGCGAGGAUCAGUAGCCGGCCUGAGAGGGCGAUCGGCCACAUUGGGACGGAGACACGGCCCAAACUCCUACGGGAGGCAGCAGUGGGGAAUAUUGGACAAUGGGCGCAAGCCUGAUCCAGCAACGCCGCGUGAGCGAUGAAGUAUUUCGGUAUGUAGAGCUCUAUCAGCAGGGAAGAAAAUGACGGUACCUGACUAAGAAGCCCCGGCUAACUACGUGCCAGCAGCCGCCGUAAAAC